AGGGGCGGGGAGGGGGGCGGCCGGCCCGGAAUGGGGCUGGCCGCAGGCGCAGGGCGCUCUCCUCCCUCCCCUCAGUUAAGGGAGACUUUAUUUCCUUCCCUGAAUAUUUCACGCAGCGUGGGAGGCACGUUUCAGCUACCAAAUGGCUCUCUGGAUGCGGAGUCUCCUGGGCUGGUUCCAGCCGCCUACGUCUUCUUCCUGCUAGCAGAGCAGUCGCGAGGCCUGUUUUGCCGUGUUUUUGUCCCUCAGGGAGCGACGAAAUGAACUUUGCGAAGGUGUGCCAGGAGCUGGGGCGGCACCGGCUUUAGGCCUGGGCCUGGGCUGGUCUCGGCUCCUUCCAGCACCUCACAGCCGCGCUGCUGCGAGAGAGCGAAAUCUGUGGGCCGAGCUGGGCUCUUUGAGCUUGGUUUUAGUACAAAUGUGGGCUCUGAUGUGACUCCUAAUUUCAGCUGCCAUAGCGAUGCAUACCGCGUGGGUAGUUACGUAAAAGCGCAGUCACAAAUGCUCUCAAUUCUGGCUGCACGUUAAAGCAGAAGCAUCGAUCGUGUAAAUUAUCUGCAGGGGUGUUCUUGCAAUCAUCUGCAGUAAGUUAACUGCAGAGUGCAAAAUACGUGCUUUUGAAUAUUGUUGCUUCAGCGUUGUAAAGCUGAAUAAACGCUGAAGUAACACUUCCAAGAGAAAUAGCUACUUUGACUUCUCUAUCAACGUUUUUUUCCUAUUUGAAAUUUUAACAGAAUUACCAAAAUAUAAGCAAGUUUUCUGAAAGCUGGAUUUUUGCUAGCAUUUUAUUUUGUGUAACAGUUCAAAGUAAAAUGUUGAAAAUAUUUUUAGCAUCGUUAUUGCCUUGGUUUGCUCAGUUCUUGAUUGCUUGUUUUGUGACUGACAGGUAUGGCUACUAAUUUUGUACUUAACACAGCAGAAGCACUUCAAUAGGAAACUGGCCAGAGCUGCAAACACAGGCCUGAGCACUCUCCUGGAAUGCACUAGGAGCAACAAUCACCAAAAAUCCUGAUUUGAGGAAACUUCAACGUGGGAGAUGAGAAAGGCCUCAGGAGACAAAGCCAAAGGACUGGAGCCAAUCUAAGGCCCGCACCUCUCCUGCCAGAAGCCCUGCUGUGCAUGGCAAUGAGGGAAGACCACGGAUAAGAGCCUGUGGGAAAAUAGCUGAACCAUUUGUGGCCUGCACAAAAGCAGAUGCUGAAGAACCACUGACAUGGACUUCAGAUUUGGAGAAAGCUUUCAUAAUCCUGUAGAAAGUUUUGAUGUCAGCACCCACACUCAAGAUGCCAAAUUACAUUUUCAGAGACUCCACAAGUACGAACUGCUGUUGAUGACAGCAGAUAACAUCCUCUUGAGAAGAUGCAAAUCCUUGAACCUGGCAACCUUAUUACCAUUGGUGGAUGAAGGGGAACCACAUCAUGGCUGCAUAGAGACCUUACAGAUCCUUACAGACCUUACCAUGCCAGCUCCAGGCUGGGCUCUAUCUGUAGGUGGGUCAUCUUAUUACCUAGAAAGAAGGUGAGGAACAGGGUAUGGCACCAUGACCCAGAACAGUUUGCUAACAGCAGAGCCUAUUUCUCCUAAACACAGUGCUCAAGCAGCUAAGUUAAUAACCCUGACAGAAAUCUGCAGGGAAGCAGAAUGGUAAAAAGUGACCAUCCAUAUGUAAUAGAAAUAUGCUUUUGAUACCUUCCACGCUGCAGGACAGCUGUGGAAACAGAGGUUUCAUGACCUCUAGUGGCAGCUGGACAGUAAAUGCUCAACAGAUUGAGAAUUUGUUAGCAGCUGUUAACCUUCCAGAAGAGAUCAGUGUGAUGCAUCAGACAACCCACACUAAAGAAAAGACUGAUUUAUAAAAAGUAGGCACCUAUGCAAACACUAGAGCCAAAGCAACAGCAAGACAGCCUUUGGGAAAAAAAAAUCACAUAUUAUCACUAACAACUCAGGAGACUCUUCCUAAUUUGCUAAUUUUAUAUGAACAAAUAGAAAAAGAAGAAAUAGAAGAAUGGAAAAGACUGGGUGCACAGGUAGAUAAAAGAAAGAGAAGUGAAUCAGGCUUACCAAUUUUGCCCAAAAGGAACUUGAUUACAAUGGCAAAAAUCUAUCACCAACUAAAUCAUUUUGGACAUACAGCAUUGGCAAAGACAAUUCUGAAAGGAUUGGUGUGCCUCAAGAAUUUAUGUUGCAGCAAAACAAGUGACUAAAAUUUGCCCGGUUUCUCAGGUCUACAGUUUAAAGGUGGGCAAGGAGGAAAAGACUCUUGGAGACAAACCAUGGGCUACUUUCCUGUUCCAAAACCUGCAAGUAGAUUAUACAAUGUUGAAGACACAUUAUGCACAUGUCAAAGGGAUACAAAUAUAUGUUAGUAAUUAUUGACUAGUUGUCAGGUGUUGCAAAUAGAUUUUUACACAACUUUGAUUUAGCAACAAUCUAAGAUUUAUUAAUACUUUUAUGGUAAGUCACAACAUUAGAUUGUAUUAUUCUUAAUAGCACUUAAUGUGCGUUUAAUCAUCAGCCAAUUUAACACAAUAAUUCAAAGGAAUUUGCUACAAUUGAAACAGUGACUUGGUUAACGGUUUGAGAAUGGCAAGGUUCAUACGAGACUUACUGCAGGGUAUUGGGAGGGGGAGGUCUAAAGUCAGUUAGGUGAUUACAAUCUUCCUCGCUUUUUGGUAAAUUACUCACUCUUCUCCCUCAUUGGCAUUUGUCAGCAGGCAAGCCUUGACCCUCAAGGAGUCAGCCCUGAGAGACAUCACACCUCAGAAGUGUCCCAGCUUAGGGAAACUGAGGAUCACAUCCUGCUGUGAUUCCUGGAGAGCUCCGUCAUUUCUCCACGGGGGAUUUCUAUGGGUACCUGCUUUAAGGCAGUACCCCCUUUGUUCAUGGUCAUGGUGUUGAGCAUGCACUUAGUGCUCUGUUAUUGAUGUGCUGUCUGGUUCAAGGAAUGGGCACAUCAAGGCCUUCUGUGGCUCAUAAACCCAAGGAAGACUUAUGUCAAGUGCAGGAGAAGAGCAUACCUGCCACAACAGGAUGGCCCAAAGCACUCGCCUUUAUGGAAUGCAGAGGCAGGCAGUAUAAUGAGGUUCUUAUUAAAAGACAUGGUGACCAGGCUUGGAAUUCCAGAAAAGGUUGAUUCAAACCAGGGGAGCCAUUUCACAGCUCAGGUUUUAAAAAGGUGAUAUGAAACAUUAGGCGUCACCUAAUACCUGUAUACCCCAUAUCAACCACCAUCAUCAAGGAAAGUUGAAUGAAUGAAUCAGAGCUUGAAAAAUACUGUAUUUAAUACUUGUGCAGAAACCGACCUGAAGAAGACAGAUGCCUUAACAAUCACUUUAAUGCAUACAAAGCAGAGGCCAAAAGAGAUAGGAUUAAUGCCAGCUGGGGUAUUAUUUGGGAGAUAUUUUCAGAUUCCAAAUACUUAUGUAGCUGCAAAGACUGUCUUACUGGGAGGGGAUGAAAGGUUGACUCAGUAUGUGUUGGAGAUCCACAAAUACAUAAAAUCUUCACAAUGCUAAGCUCAACUAUAGCAACCACUGUCUUUAGAAGGGAAAAUGCAGCCCUAUGAACAAGAAGAUUACAUAAAAAGAAAAAUCAGUUAAGGCCAAGGUGGGAAUGGCUUUCUUUCGGGGGUAUUGUUGACUUCUUUUUCAUCAGUACUUGUAAGAGGGAAAAACCCUGGGAUGCACUGUUCUCAUGUGAAAUUUUCCAGGGCUGAAGAAGUCAAAAUUCCCUUGAAAAUUAUAUAGAAAAAAAAAAAAAAAAAAAAAACAACAAGCAAACAGAAAUAGA